AUUUGUCAAAGUGUUUAUUUAUGAUCACUAUUCAAGUUUUCAAAUAAGCAUUCUUUACCGAAUUUCCAGUUUAAUAUACAGCGACAAAGCUGUCAAGUCCGAUAUGUUUUUCAAAGUGUUUAUUUCUGCUCACGCAUUCAAUUAUUGAACGACAAAGCUGUCAAGUCCGAUAUGUUUUUCAAAGUGUUUAUUUCUGCUCACGCAUUCAAUUAUUGAACGACAAAGCUGUCAAGUCCGAUAUAUUUUUCAAAGUGUUUAUUUCUGCUCACGCAUUCAAUUAUUGAACGACAAAGCUGUCAAGUCCGAUAUAUUUUUCAAAGUGUUUAUUUCUGCUCACGCAUUCAAUUAUUGAACGACAAAGCUGUCAAGUCCGAUAUGUUUUUCAAAGUGUUUAUUUCUGCUCACGCAUUCAAUUAUUGAACGACAAAGCUGUCAAGUCCGAUAUGUUUUUCAAAGUGUUUAUUUCUGCUCACGCAUUCAAUUAUUGAACGACAAAGCUGUCAAGUCCGAUAUAUUUUUCAAAGUGUUUAUUUCUGCUCACGCAUUCAAUUAUUGAACGACAAAGCUGUCAAGUCCGAUAUAUUUUUCAAAGUGUUUAUUUCUGCUCACGCAUUCAAUUAUUGAACGACAAAGCUGUCAAGUCCGAUAUAUUUUUCAAAGUGUUUAUUUCUGCUCACGCAUUCAAUUAUUGAAGUAAGUAUUCUUUACUGAAUUUCCCGUUUAAUCAAACAGGUAAUCAAAACAAGCCCGAUAUGGGACUCGAACCCAUGGCCCUCAGAUUAAAAGUCUGAUGCUCUACCAACUGAGCUAACCGGGCAGCUAAUGCUUUCGUUGGGAAAUUAACCAA